GACGAACCGAGCGAACGUUGUUCGGAAUCACUGGGCGUAAAGGGUGCGUAGGCGGGUCUUUAAGUCAGGGGUGAAAUCCUGGAGCUCAACUCCAGAACUGCCUUUGAUACUGAAGAUCUUGAGUCCGGGAGAGGUGAGUGGAACUGCGAGUGUAGAGGUGAAAUUCGUAGAUAUUCGCAAGAACACCAGUGGCGAAGGCGGCUCACUGGCCCGGUACUGACGCUGAGGCACGAAAGCGUGGGGAGCAAACAGG
rnacentral:rRNA from 1 species